CAAAAACCAACCCCUGUGGGAAGCAGGGAAAUCGUCUUUCCAGCUGGGUGGAGACCAAGGCACAGAGAGGUCUCCCCACCCCAUGCUUAAAACCUACAUGAGCUACAUGUGACCUGAGGAUUCCUUUACAAUUAUACCCCAACAGUCAGAACCUCUUAAAUUUAAUCCUUGAUCUGGAGGAUAGCAACUCAUUUUGUAUCGAGGUUCCUGUUUUGGGCAGCAAAGAGCAGUGAGUGCUAUGAGAGGAUACAAAAUAAACCAAGUGAGCUCUGCA